ACUUCUCACUCUUACCAAUUAGAACUCCCUCCCGUCACUCUUCCACCCCAAAUUUAUUAAACCAUAUUUUAUGCAAUUUCUCUCUCUCCCUCCCACCAACUUAGAGCGAAUUAUCGGCGGUGUAUCGGCAGAUUGUUGUCAAGUUUCUCUUCUCUCCUCUCUUAUUCUUUCAUUCCCACUUCUCGCCAAGGCCCUCGAUUGGCCUGUGAGACGGUGGCGUUGAUUGCGAAGAAACUACCAAGCUUCUGUUGCCCGAUGAAGUCUGUUGGCAAGGAGUUCUUCCUCCCCCGUUGUGCUUUUAUGAUGUCAACUCCCAUCUCCAAACAAGGUUUAGCCAGGUGAGAGCUGAAGAGCUUGAAUUAUCAUCGGCUAUUUGGAUAUGUCAACCUAAAAAAAAUAAGCAUUAACAAAAAAGAAAAAUAUUGACAAUGUGGAGUUGGAUAUGCGCAACACGCAAAUAGAUCCAAGUGUUGGACCGACUCGUGGCUAGCUGUGAGUUGUUGUUGUAAGCAUCUUCCAAGGACGAGGUAGAGUUGCAUCUCGAUCGCAGCCUUUGGGUGUUUCUUGUCAUUUUAGUACUAUUCUUUACUUUCAUACAAUAUUUCAUUUUGUGUUCCAGAUGUGUACUUCAAUUUAGAGCUCAUGGCUCUAUAUUUAUCAGUUAUGGGGGAGGGUACUUAUCGAUGCAGUUCAUUUAUUUUGUUGGCUUUAGACUUAUGCUAUUUCCACUAUUUCUAUUAUUA